rnacentral:tRNA from 1 species
GACCCCUUCGUCUAGCGGUCAGGACAUCACCCUCUCACGGUGAGAACACGGGUUCGAGUCCCGUAGGGGUCGCCA